rnacentral:rRNA from 1 species
GAGUUUGAUCCUGGCUCAGGAUAAACGCUGGCGGCGUGCCUAAUACAUGCAAGUCGAUCGAUGGAAACCUAGCUUGCUAGGUGGAAGUAGAGGCGAACGGGUGAGUAACACAUAAGCAACCUGCCUACAAAGACUGGGAUAAUCUCUGGAAACGGGGACUAAGACCGGAUAGGUAAUAGGACCACAUGAUCUUAUUAUUAAAGGUGAGAAACACUAGUAGAUGGGCUUAUGGCGCAUUAGUUAGUUGGUAAGGUAACGGCCUACCAAGACGAUGAUGCGUAGCCGGGCUGAGAGGCUGAACGGCCACAUUGGGACUGAGACACGGCCCAGACUCCUACGGGAGGCAGCAGUAGGGAAUUUUCGGCAAUGGGGGAAACCCUGACCGAGCAACGCCGCGUGAGUGAUGAAAGUCUUCGGAUUGUAAAGCUCUGUUAUAAGGGAAGAACGUCCCGGAUAGUCUCCGGGAGUGACGGUACCUUAUCAGAAAGCUACGGCUAACUACGUGCCAGCAGCCGCGGUAAUACGUAGGUAGCGAGCGUUAUCCGGAAUUAUUGGGCGUAAAGGGUGCGUAGGCGGCUUGUUAAGUUUAAGGUGAAAGCGUGGGGCUCAACCCCAUAAAGCCUUAGAUACUGACGAGCUAGAGUACUGGAGAGGGUAGUGGAAUUCCAUGUGUAGCGGUAAAAUGCGUAGAUAUAUGGAGGAACACCGGUGGCGAAGGCGGCUACCUAGACAGAGACUGACGCUGAUGCACGAAAGCGUGGGGAGCAGAUAGGAUUAGAUACCCUAGUAGUCCACGCUGUAAACGAUGAAUACUAGGUAUCGGGGCAACUCGGGUGCCGCAGUUAACACGAUAAGUAUUCCGCCUGUGGAGUAUGCACGCAAGUGUGAAACUCAAAGGAAUUGACGGAUCUUUC